UACGUAGGGUGCGAGCGUUGUCCGGAAUUACUGGGCGUAAAGAGCUCGUAGGUGGUUUGUCGCGUUGUCCGUGAAAACUCACAACUCAAUUGUGGGCGUGCGGGCGAUACGGGCAGACUGGAGUACUGCAGGGGAGACUGGAAUUCCUGGUGUAGCGGUGGAAUGCGCAGAUAUCAGGAGGAAUACCGGUGGCGAAGGCGGGUCUCUGGGCAGUAACUGACGCUGAGGAGCGAAAGCGUGGGGAGCGAACAGG
rnacentral:rRNA from 1 species